rnacentral:lncRNA from 1 species
AAAAAAAUUUAAUAUUAAUUUAAAAUAUAAUAUACAAUAGAAAAGUUGGAGUAAAGAAAUAAAAGAUCAAAUUCAAAGUAAAAAGAAACCUGUUAAUAUUAUUAAUUGUUACAGCCAGAAGCAGUCAAUUUUCUGAGAGAAAAUAAAAGUAUUUAGUAUUUUCUGAGAAAAAAACAACACAAAAAAAAGGUAACAGGAAAUACCGUAUUAAAUGUAAGAUGACCUUUCAGAUUCAGCAAAUAAAUAUAUCCGAUGAAAUAAAUCCAAACCAUUAUUACUGUGAGACCCCAAAUAGUCCUAUAUAUAAGAUAUAAUAGGGCUAAACUCUUAACCCGGCUUAAGAUUUUAAGUGGUGGCUAGACCCAAGAGGUUAAGAGAGUUAAGCGUGCUAGGACGGGAGUAGUCCUAGGAUGGGUAACCCCCUGGGAAGUCGGGACGUCACAGAUGGUAUCAGAGCCAAUUACCAGCCGGAAGUGUGAGAUGAGUCUCGGCUGAGCCAGGGUCUGGAUGACGGGCUAGCGAGACGAGUCUCACAUCGUCUGGUACUUGUGAGUCUGAGCCUGACGAGGACGUCAGGGCUUAAAGGAGCGGAGAUUGUGAGACCCCAGUUAGUCCUAUAUAUAAGAUAUAAUAGGGUUAAACUCUUAACCCGGCUUAAGCAUUUUGGGUGGUGGCUAGAUCUAAGAGGUUAAGAGAGUUAAGUGUGCUAGGACGGGAGUAGUCCUAGGAUGGGUGACCCCCUGGGAAGUCGGGACGUCACAAUUGCGACAUGCUGGAACGAAGCGUUGCUACUCGGGAGUCGAAGCGACCCUAGAGAUGAAGGUGGAAUGAAGAAUCUUUGAAAGAAUUAAAUGGGGAGAAUGAGAAAAAUA